GCUAGCUACAGUGGCAUGUGCUAUAGUCCAAGCUACUGGGGAGGCUGAGGCAGGAGGAUUACUUGAGUCCAGGAGUUCUGAGCAGUAAUGCUCUAUGCCAAUUGGAUGUCCACACCAAGUUCGGCAUCAAUAUGGUGACCUCCUGGAGGCAGAAGACCAUCUGGUUGCCUAAGAAGGGGUAAACUGAACCAGACUGGAAAUGGAGCGGUUCAAAACUCCCAUGCUAAUAAGUGUUGGGAUCACAUCUGUGAAUAGCCACUUCAUAGACAGUUAAGAGGAAUGGAUGUGAAGGUUGGGGCUUAUUUUAU
rnacentral:SRP_RNA from 1 species